CUGUGACAUCACAGUUUUUCAGUGACAGUGUUUUCCUCGAGAGUUUGAUCAAAGCUGCAAAUAACGAAGACACGAAUGACUAUUUCGAGGAAUAUCAAGAUUCUGAUAUCGAAGAAAAAACUUUUGCACCCAAGAAGCUAUCAAAACUGGUGAAACUGUUACUCAGCACCUGUGGUCCAGUCUUGAAGCAGAAAUGUGAAGUAUUUAGAAAAAAAUGUCACUGGCUAACAAGAAAAGACUUCGAGGAAGGAGACCAAUACAGUGAACUGGAUACGGAAUUGAGUGAAGAUAAACGAGCAGUGUUGGAAGAUAAACGAAGCAAACCUCGCAUCAAAAUCAAUUGCAAUACAUGCAGAAAUCUUUGUUGGUAGAAAUAUAGCAACCAAGCUACAAAGUCACGUUAUGAAUUUUAAAACAUUGAUAUAUAGAGUGUCCAUAACGUCUUAAAUUUUUUUUAAAUUGCGA